AUUUAGCCAUGGAGGCAAGUGAAUGCGCAACAAGGGAUCUCUAACCUUCAAACUGUUUGAGGGAGAAUACUCUAUGAUAUGAUUAAGAAUCUCUGGCCAGAGUAUGAAUGAGAUUUAGGAAGUAGUUCCAAAUCACAUUCAAGGUAAUCAUAUAUGUAAAUGAAUCACAUUGGAUAGUAGACAUGAAUAAACUAUCAAACCAAACAAUGUGGUCAAGAGUAUUGUAUUAGAGAAAGACCGUAUUGCAUUGUAAUCCUAAACUGAAUAGGUUCUCCACCUCUUCUGAUUAGCUUGGGUAACCAUGACAUACUACUAGGUGUCACUCAUGGUUUGUAGAAGCCCUAAAUGUGUAUAAUCACUAAAGGGAGAAUUGAAAGUAAGUUUCAGUUCAAAAUCAAUUUGAAAGAGUUCUAAUCGCCCACUGCCUCGCUAAAAGGAACCUAAUGGAUUGAUGUGAAAAUUAACUUGACACACAAAUUAAACCCUAUGGAUGACAAUUGUAGUAUAUGAGCAAAUAGGGAUCGUUCUAGACCGGGGAUUAACUAGGGAUGCUAAUCAAUGUGAAACUGACUCAAGAACAUAAAAACAUAAUGUAGAACACUAAACUAGACUCAAUUAAUGCAAAACUAGAGUUUAAAACACCUAAACAAACCAAAAACUCAAAACAGCAACUAAAACACUCAAAACUGCCUCAAAACCACUUUUUGGGCAGUUUUGAGUACCUAACACUAAUUUGGACGAAAUUGGACUAUAACUCGACUCAAAACACUUAAAAACACAAACUAAAUUGAUUUAUAACUAAUCUAACACUUUAAAAUAAAUGGGGGAUUGAUUUUGACGAAAUUAAAACUUUAAAACUUAAACUUUGAAAACAAAUGUAAAGCAAAACAGAUUGUGAUGAAAUAGAAUGGUGAGAAACUAGUUAGAGGGUUCCUUAUCCACACAUGAACAUAUGCAUACAACUCGAUUUCCAAUUACUCUUUCAACAAACCAUGAAUGACAAUGCCCCAAAUUAACUAGGUUGCACCAAUUAAUUCUCAGAUUUCCCUAGAUUCAUUGAAUUGAAUGGAAUACGCAUUACAACCAAAUUAUUCUUAUCAAGGACCCUAACUAUGGAAUACAGAUGAUAGAGACACAUAUCAAAGAUCAUUAAGUUCAAUGGAAAUCAUAAGCAUUGACGAGGCAUUCAUAACUAUGGGAUACACAUGUUACUCUUGCCUAGGAUUUACUUAACACAAUCGUGACUAACGACUUUUACUACUUAUGAAUAUAAGUUAAUAACGAUUAGGUGAAAUUCCCUUAUAUCCUAGCAUCAAGUUUAGGCAUGCAAAUUAAGUGUCGACCCUCAACCCACAUACAUAAACAAGUUAUCAAUCAAAUAGAUAAGUAAACCACAUUCACGAUUUAUGAAAUCAUAAUUCGAGGAAAUCAAAUCAUAUAAAACAUAUGUCCAUGGCUUCAAAUUCGCCUCUAACUACAUGUUUAACAUAAUUGAAAAGCAAAUUAAAUUAAACAUGAAAACAGAAACAAGAGAAGAAAGAACUCCAAACACUCCACUAAUGGCAGAUUGCAUGUGCAAGGUUUCUCCCUCCUUUGGACUGCACGGCACUACUUCUUUCUCCUUCAAUGGUGGCUGCACGAGGUGGUGAUGGUGGUGGAAAGGUGCGGCUGUGGUGGAUGAAUGGUUAUGGAAUAGGGUAGAAGGGUUAAGGGGACUAGGGGGCACGGCAAGAACUUAGAACUAGGGAGAAUGAUGUUGGUGGUUACGGCAAAGGCUUAGGGUAAAUUUCUGGAGUGAAUGGAUGAUAUGGGAGGUGGUAGUUUCGGCCAAAAGCUUUAAAGGAGUAUAUAUAGGCACUUAAAAACCCUAGCAAUCAGAUUAGGGUUUCUAGAAACCCAAAUCCAACAGAAAAUAGGUUAAACAAUUAGAUUUUGCAUGGGAAAAGGCCUAGGGUUCGGCUGGUUUAGUGGGCUAGGGUUAAGGCUUCUAGAAUGCCUUGCAAGGCAAGGCAAACAAGUUCUUCUAGAAGGCUAGGUGCGGCAAAGGGUUAGGGCUUCUAGAUAGGUCUUCUAGAAAGCCCAAAACCAAGAGAAAAUGAACCCAACCCACGGCAAGGAUGAGGAAAAUGUUCUAGAACCACUCUUUGUGUCUUCCAACGCUUAGGAACCUUCUAAUGUUGCUAAAACGCAAGGCCAUUUAGGUUUAGGAAAGAUCAACCCAAAAUGGAAACUUUUAGGCUUAGCUUUCCUACUUCAAGUAGGAAACCUCAUUUGAGUAGGAAUCUUCGUUCUUCUCGGAAUCAUCUUCAACUAGGAAUCCCUCGUUGAUUAGGAAUCCUUCGUCAAUUAGGACUCUUCCUCGGACUAGGAAUCCUUCUUGUACUAGGAAUCCUCAAAUCUUCAAAUCUUCAAUUUCAUCCAAACCUUGUGUUCCAAGCAUGUACUUGUCAAUCCAAGCUCACAAUUUGCUCCAAAAACUCCAAAUUGCCAUCUUUUAUGUCAUAUGCCCUUUAAGCCUGAAAACACAUGAAAGUAGCUCAAAAGACUACUUUAACGAAGAAAACA
rnacentral:lncRNA from 1 species